rnacentral:lncRNA from 1 species
GCAUAAAAAAAAAAGUCUUGGUCAGGAGGUUCUCCUCCACGUGGUAAUCCAUGGAUCCAGUCUCCAACCAACUCAUGGCUGUAUAUCUGUCUGGCUGGUAAACAAAAAGAAAGAACAUGCAGAAUGGUAAGGAAAAAUUAGCAGCACAGGCCUAGAAAUGUAGCCCAAUA